rnacentral:lncRNA from 10 species
AGGGAGGUGCGCACUUUCCAUCCUUUCUCUUUAAAAUGAGUUUCUUACGGGCACUCCAAGGUCUGACUUACAGAGUCUCACUCUGUCGCCCAGGCUGGAGUGCAGAGCUGGGACCUCAGCUCACUGCAAGGUCCGCCUCCCAGGUUCGCGCCAUUCUCCUGCCUCAGCCUCCCGAGUACCUGGGACUACAGGUGCCCGCCCCCACGCCUGGCUAAUUUUUUGUAUUUUUCAGUAGAGACGGGGUUUCACCGUGUUAGCCAGGAUGGUCUUGAUCUCCUGACCUUGUGAUCCGCCCGCCUCGGCCUCCCAGAGUGCUGGGAUUACAGGCGUGAGCCACCGCGCCCGGCCUCCAAGUUCUGACUUUUUAUCCAUUCUGGUCUCUGCUUUCUCAUUGACGUGUUUAAACCUUUUACAUCUCAUGUGAUUUUUUUUUAUUGGAUUUAAAUCUACUAUCUUGCUAUUUAUUCUCUAUUUGUCCCGUGUGCUCUUUGUUCUAUUUUUCUUUUUUCUGCCUCUUGCAUUUUUAAUUUUUGUAUCAUUUAUUUAUUUACUUUAGAGGUGAGGUCUGUCAUUCAGGCUGGUGUGCAGUGGCACAAUCAUAUCUCACUUUCUGCCCCUUUGAGAGUCUGAUUCCAUUUUCUCUCCUUUAUUGAUUUAUUAGCCAUCACCCUUUGUUGCUGUAUUGCAGUGGUUGUGGUAAGGCUCGUAAUAAAUAGCUUUAACCCGUCCAGUCUCUUCAUUCUUCUGUGGAGACCCCGACUUCUAUCCAGUCUCACCUUCCUUUUGUCUGAAGGACUUCUGGAACAUGUCUUGUACUGCAAGUCUGCUAGUGAUGGAUUAUUUUAGCUUUUGUAAGUGCAAAAAAGUCUUUAUUUUGCCUUUGUUUUUGAAAAAUAUCUUUGCUGGGCAUAGAACUACAGUUAUUCCUCAGUAUCCCUGGGGGAUUGGUUCCAGUACCUGCCAUGGGUACCAAAAUCCACGAAUGUUCAAGUCCCUUAUGCAAAAUGUCAUAGUGUUUCCAUAUAACCUAUGCACAUUCUUCCAUACACUUUAAAUCAUCUGUAGCGGCGAGCGUGAUGACUCACACCUGUAAUCUCUGUAAUUUGGUAGGCUGAGGUGGGAGGAUCACUUGAGGCCAGGAGUUCAAGACCAGCCUGGGCAACAUAGUAAGAUACCAUCUCUACAAAAAAUAAAAUAAAAUAAAAAUUAGCAGGGCAUGGUGGUGUGUGCCUGUGGUCCCAGCUACUCGGCAGAGUCAUGCAGGAGGAUUGGUUGAGCUCAGGAGGUCGAGGCUGCAGUGAGCUAUAACCGUAUUAUCCUACUCCAGCCUGGGAGACAGAGCGAGACCCUGUUUCUAAAAUAUAUACAUAUCGAGAUUACUUAUAAUACCUCAUGCGAUGUACAUGCUAAAUGAAUACUUGUUAUACCAUAUUGUUUAAGGAAUAAUGACAAGGAAGAGCAGUCUGUGCAUUUCGGUGCAAGUAAUUUUUUUCUGAGUAUUUUUGAUCCUUGGUUGAAUCCACAGACGCAGAGCCUGUGAAUACAGACGCCUGACACUAUCAGUCAGCUUCUCCCUUGCCCUCAGCACUUCAAAGGUGUGAUUCCACUCUGUUCUGACUUGCAUUAUUCCUGAAGAAAUGUCUGCAAUCACUGCAAUCUUUUCAUUUAUUUUUUUAGAAGGAGUCUCUCGCUCUGUCACUAGGCUGGAGGGCAGUGGCGUGAUCUUGGCUCACUGCAACCUCCACCUCCCAGGUUCAAGCGGUUCUCGUGCCUCAGCCUCCUGAGUUACCUGGGAUUACAGGCCUGUGCCACCACACCCAGCUAUUUUUUUUUAUUUUUAGUAGAGAUGGGAUUUCACCAUGUUUACCAGGAUGGACUCGAUCUCCUGACCUUGUGAUCCGCCCGCCUCAGCCUCCCAAAGUGCUGGGAUUACAGGCGUGAGCCACCGCGCCUGGCCUGUAAUCAUUCUUAUCUUUGUUCCUCUGUACACAAUGUCUUGUGUGUGUGUGUGUGUGUGUGUACAGCUGCUUUUAAGAUUUUUCACUGAUUUAAAGCAAUUUGAGGCCAGGCACGGUGGCUUAUGCCUGUAAUCCCAGCAUUCGGGAGACCAAGGUGGGCAGAUCACCUGAAGUCAGGAGUUCAAGACCAGCCUGACCAACAUGGCAAAAUCCCGUCUCUACUAAAAAUACAAAAAAUUGGCCAGGCAUGGUGGCACAUGCCUAUAAUCCCAGCUAUUCAGGAGGCUGAGGCAGGAGAAUCACUUGAAUCCAGGAGGCAGAGGUUGUGCUGAGUCAAGAUCGUGCCAUUGCACUCCAGCCUGGGAGACAGAGCAAGACUCCAUCUCAAAAAAUAAAAAAAUAAAUAAAUAAAGCAAUUUGCUUUCCAUCUUGGUGUAGUUUCCUUCAUGUUUCUUGAGUUUGAGGUAUGUUAAACUUCUUGGGUCUGUAGGUUUGUAGUUUUAAAAAAACUUUUCAAUCAUUAUUUUUUUUUGUUGUUUUGUUUUUGUUUUUUGAGACAGCGUCUUGCUCUGUCUCCCAGGCUGGAGUGCAGUGGUGCAAUCUCUACUCACUGAAACCUCCACCUCCCGGGUUCCAGCGAUUCUUCUGCCUCAGCUUCCUGAGUAGCUGGGAUUACAGGCACAUGCCACCACACCUGGCUAAUUUUUUAUAUUUUUAGUAGACACGAGAUUUCAUCAUGUUGGCCAAGCUGAUCUCGAACUCCUGACCUCAAGGGAUCUGCCCGCCUCGGCCUCCCAAAGUGCUGGGAUUACAGGCGUGAGCCACCUCACCUGGCAAUCAUUACUUCUUAAAAUGUCUUUCUCCCCAUCCUUCCACCCCCAGGGGACUUCAAAUCACACUGCUUGAAGCGGCCCCACAGCUCACUGAUGCUCUGCUCACUCUCUUAGCCUUCCCUCUCUGUUUUACGUUAGACGACUUCUGUUGCCAUGUCCUUGAGAGUUUUAAGUCCUUGCUUUCCUCCUUGGUAGUGUUUUCUGAAACCUGAUGUUUUGCCCAAAACUGAUAUAUUAUUUUCAUGUAU